UAACAUGUCGUUUAUACUUUGCAGAAUUAUUUCGUCUAUACGCCAAGCGGAAAUGUCCCCAGCAGUUACGGCUCAGGCUCGUUUAAAUCAAAGUUCCAGCCCUUCGACUCGGAUAGGUCUGAUGAGAGCUCAUCAUCAGAAUAUCAUCA